UACGGAGGGAGCUAGCGUUGUUCGGAAUUACUGGGCGUAAAGCGCGCGUAGGCGGCUUUGUAAGUUAGAGGUGAAAGCCCGGAGCUCAACUCCGGAACUGCCUUUAAGACUGCAUCGCUUGAAUCCAGGAGAGGUGAGUGGAAUUCCGAGUGUAGAGGUGGAAUGCGUAGAGAUCCGGAGGAACACCAGCGGCGAAGGCGGCGUCCUGGACUGGUACUGACGCUCAGGAGCGAAAGCGUGGGGAGCGAUCCGG
rnacentral:rRNA from 1 species